CCUACGGGGGGCAGCAGUGGGGAAUAUUGCACAAUGGGGGGAACCCUGAUGCAGCGACGCCGCGUGGGUGAAGAAGCGCCUCGGCGCGUAAAGCCCUGUCAGCAGGGAAGAAAAUGACGGUACCUGAAGAAGAAGCCCCGGCUAACUACGUGCCAGCAGCCGCGGUAAUACGGAGGGGGCAAGCGUUAUCCGGAUUUACUGGGUGUAAAGGGGGCGUAGGCGGGGUUGCAAGCCAGGAGUGAAAGCCUGGGGCCCAACCCUGGGACUGCAGUUGAAACUGGGAGGCUGGAGUGCAGGAGGGGCAGGCGGAAUUCCUGGUGUAGCGGUGAAAUGCGUAGAUAUCAGGAGGAACACCGGUGGCGAAGGCGGCCUGCUGGACUGCAACUGACGUUGAGGCGCGAAAGCGUGGGGAGCAAACAGGAUUAGAUACCCUUGUAGUC
rnacentral:rRNA from 1 species